AUUCAAGUGUCCAAAGGGCAUUUGGUGGAUGCCUUGGCAGUCAGAGGCGAUGAAGGACGUGGUACGCUGCGAUAAGUCAUGGGGAGCUGCGAUCAAGCUUUGAUCCGUGAAUGUCCGAAUGGGGAAACCCACCGCUUAUGCGGUAUCUGUAACUGAAUACAUAGGUUGCAGAAGCGAACCUGGGGAAUUGAAACAUCUCAGUACCCAGAGGAAAAGAAAUCAAACGAGACUCCGAAAGUAGUGGCGAGCGAAAUCGGACCAGCCCAGUGGCUGGGUGUUGAAAAUUGGAAGUGUCUGGAAAGUCACGCCAAAGUAGGUGAUAGCCCUGUACAAGUAAAUCAACAUUCAGUCCUUGAGUAAGGCGGGACACGUGUAAUCCUGUCUGAAUAUGGGGGGACCAUCCUCCAAGGCUAAGUACUACUGACUGACCGAUAGUGCACAAGUACCGUGAGGGAAAGGUGAAAAGAACCCCGAUGAGGGGAGUGAAAUAGACCUGAAACCGAAUGCUUACAAACAGUCGAAGCCCGCAAGGGUGACGGCAUACCUUUUGUAUAAUGGAUCAGAGAGUUAGUCUUGCAUGCAAGCUUAAGCCGUUAGGUGUAGGCGUAGGGAAACCGAGUGUGAAUAGCGCGUUUUAGUAUGCAGGAUUAGACCCGAAACCCGGUGAUCUAUGCAUGGGCAGGUUGAAGUCAGGGUAACACCUGAUGGAGGACCGAACCGGUAGUUGUUGAAAAAACUUCGGAUGACCUGUGCUUAGGGGUGAAAGGCCAAUCAAACCGGGUAAUAGCUGGUUCUCCGCGAAAUCUAUUUAGGUAGAGCGUUGUGCCAUUUACUUCGGGGGGUAGAGCACUGGAUGGACUAGGGGGGCGCGAGCCUUACCAAAUCUAACCAAACUCCGAAUACCCGAAAGUAUUACCACAGCAGACAGACGGUCGGUGAUAACGUCGAUCGUCAAGAGGGAUGAAAACCCAGACCUACAGCUAAGGUCCCCAAAUCGUAGCUAAGUUGAAAAGGAUGUAGGAAUUCCAUGACAACCAGGAUGUUGGCUUAGAAGCAGCCAUCAUUUAAAGAAAGCGUAAUAGCUCACUGGUCUAAAUAAGAGUUCCCGCGCCGAAGAUGUUACGGGGAUUAAGUUACGUACCGAAGCUUAGGGUUCAUAUGUUUUUAACAUAUGAGCGGUAGCGGAGCGUUCCGUAAGCCUGCGAAGGCGGACCUGUGAGGGCCGCUGGAGGUAUCGGAAGUGAGAAUUCUGAUAUGAGUAGCGACAAACAGUGUGAGAAUCACUGUCGCCGUAAGUCCAAGGGUUCCUGCGCAAGGUUAAUCCACGCAGGGUGAGCCGGCCCCUAAGGCGAGGCCGAAAGGCGUAGUCGAUGGGAACCACGUUAAUAUUCGUGGGCCUGAUGGAAGUGACGAAGGCCGAAAGCUGUCAAUUCUUAUUGGAUUGAAUUGGCAGCCUGGGACUUCCAGGAAAUAACUCCAUCGUAUAGACCGUACCCUAAACCGACACAGGUGGACUGGUAGAGUAUACCAAGGCGCUUGAGAGAACGAUGUUGAAGGAACUCGGCAAAUUACUUGCGUAACUUCGGGAUAAGCAAGCCCGUCCUAUGGGCAACCAAUGGACGGGGGCACAAGCCAGGGGGUAGCGACUGUUUAUCAAAAACACAGGGCUCUGCGAAAUCGUAAGAUGACGUAUAGGGUCUGACGCCUGCCCGGUGCCGGAAGGUUAAGAGGAGAUGUUCACGCAUUGAAUCGAAGCCCCGGUAAACGGCGGCCGUAACUAUAACGGUCCUAAGGUAGCGAAAUUCCUUGUCGGGUAAGUUCCGACCUGCACGAAUGGCGUAACGACUUCCCCACUGUCUCCAGCAUCGACUCAGCGAAAUUGAACUCCUCGUGAAGAUGCGAGGUACCCGCGGUCAGACGGAAAGACCCUAUGAACCUUUACUGUAGCUUUGCAGUGGCAUUACGCUUGUUAUGUGUAGAAUAGGUGGGAGACUUUGAAGCCGGGGCGCUAGCCUUGGUGGAGUCACCGUUGAAAUACCACCCUUGACUUUCGUGAUGUCUAACCUCGACCCGUUAUCCGGGUCAGGGACCCUGCAUGGUAGGCAGUUUGACUGGGGCGGUCGCCUCCCAAAUUGUAACGGAGGCGCGCGAUGGUAAGCUCAGGUUGGUCGGAAAUCAACCUACGAGUGCAAUGGCAGAAGCUUGCCUGACUGCAAGACUGACAAGUCGAGCAGAGCCGAAAGGCGGUCAUAGUGAUCCGGUGGUUCCGUAUGGAAGGGCCAUCGCUCAACGAAUAAAAGGUACUCUAGGGAUAACAGGCUGAUAGCGCCCAAGCGUCCACAGCGACGGCGCUGUUUGGCACCUCGAUGUCGGCUCAUCUCAUCCUGGGGCUGGAGCAGGUCCCAAGGGUAUGGCUGUUCGCCAUUUAAAGAGGUACGUGAGCUGGGUUCAGAACGUCGUGAGACAGUUCGGUCCCUAUCUGCCGUGGGUGUUGGAAUAUUGAGAGGAUCUGUCCUUAGUACGAGAGGACCGGGAUGGACACACCUCUGGUGUACCGGUUGUCGCGCCAGCGGCAAGAGCCGGGUAGCUAUGUGUGGAAGGGAUAACUGCUGAAUGCAUCUAAGUAGGAAGCCCCCCUCAAAACUAGUAUUCCCUAUCAGAGCCGUGGAAGACCACCACGUUGAUAGGACGGAUGUGGAAGAGCAGUAAUGCUUGAAGCUAACCGUUACUAAUUGCUCGAUCGGCUUGAAUUC
rnacentral:rRNA from 1 species